rnacentral:rRNA from 1 species
CCUACGGGAGGCAGCAGUCGAGAAUCAUUCACAAUGGGGGAAACCCUGAUGGUGCGACGCCGCGUGGGGGAAUGAAGGUCUUCGGAUUGUAAACCCCUGUCAUGUGGGAGCAAAUUAAAAAGAUAGUACCACAAGAGGAAGAGACGGCUAACUCUGUGCCAGCAGCCGCGGUAAUACAGAGGUCUCAAGCGUUGUUCGGAAUCACUGGGCGUAAGGCGUGCGUAGGCUGUUUCGUAAGUCGUGUGUGAAAGGCGCGGGCUCAACCCGCGGACGGCACAUGAUACUGCGAGACUAGAGUAAUGGAGGGGCAACCGGAAUUCUCGGUGUAGCAGUGAAAUGCGUAGAUAUCGAGAGGAACACUCGUGGCGAAGGCGGGUUCCUGGACAUUAACUGACGCUGAGGCACGAAGGCCAGGGGAGCGAAAGGGAUUAGAUACCCCUGUAGUC